rnacentral:rRNA from 1 species
AUACGGGGGGUGCAAGCGUUAUUCGGAAUCACUGGGCGUAAAGGGCGCGCAGGCGGUUUGGUAAGUCAGAUGUGAAAGCCCGGGGCUCAACCCCGGAAGUGCAUUUGAUACUGCCUGACUUGAGUAUGAGAGAGGGAAGUGGAAUUCCUGGUGUAGAGGUGAAAUUCGUAGAUAUCAGGAGGAACACCGGUGGCGAAGGCGACUUCCUGGACCAAUACUGACGCUGAGGCGCGAAGGCGUGGGGAGCAAACAGGAUUAGAAACCCUAGUAGUCC